CAAAAGGCUCUUUUCAGAGCCAAUUUUUUUUUUUUUUUAAAAUUUU
rfam:Stegodyphus mimosarum contig29418, whole genome shotgun sequence.